ACGGCUCAGUAACACGUCGGUAACCUACCCUCGGGAGGGGGAUAACCCCGGGAAACUGGGGCUAAUUCCCCAUAGGCCUGAGGUACUGGAAGGUCCUCAGGCCGAAAGGGACUUAUGUCCGCCCGAGGAUGGGCCGGCGGCCGAUUAGGUAGUUGGUGGGGUAAUGGCCCACCAAGCCGAAGAUCGGUACGGGCUGUGAGAGCAGGAGCCCGGAGAUGGACACUGAGACACGGGUCCAGGCCCCACGGGGCGCAGCAGGCGCGAAACCUCCGCAAUGCGGGAAACCGCGACGGGGGGACCCCGAGUGCCGUGGCAACGCCACGGCUUUUCCGGAGUGUAAAAAGCUCCGGGAAUAAGGGCUGGGCAAGGCCGGUGGCAGCCGCCGCGGUAAUACCGGCGGCCCGAGUGGUGGCCGCUAUUAUUGGGCCUAAAGCGUCCGUAGCCGGGCCCGUAAGUCCCUGGCGAAAUCCCACGGCUCAACCGUGGGGCUUGCUGGGGAUACUGCGGGUCUUGGGACCGGGAGAGGCGGGGGGUACCCCUGGGGUAGGGGUGAAAUCCUAUAAUCCCAGGGGGACCGCCAGUGGCGAAGGCGCCCCGCUGGAACGGGUCCGACGGUGAGGGACGAAGGCCAGGGGAGCAAACCGGAUUAGAUACCCGGGUAGUCCUGGCUGUAAAGGAUGCGGGCUAGGUGUCGGGUGAGCCUCGAGCUCGCCCGGUGCCGUAGGGAAGCCGUUAAGCCCGCCGCCUGGGGAGUACGGCCGCAAGGCUGAAACUUAAAGGAAUUGGCGGGGGAG
rnacentral:rRNA from 1 species